UAGUUGUUAAAACGGAAUAAACCCAAGUUCUGGCGUCGAUAUGUGACAGUGAACGAAACAUGGCUCCAUAAUUUGACUCCGUAGUUCAAUAGAUAGUCAACCAAAUGGACUGUACACGACAACUAGCUAAAAAAUUUGGAAAAACACAACAGUCGGCUGACAUCGGAUAAUUUUUAUUGACUGCGCAUAUCGGCCACUAUAAGUAUAAAAGAGCGAAUUAAAUAUUUUUUUAACGAGGAAUUAAUAAAUUACGGAUUUCAUUUCAUUAUGGACAAUUAAUAGCUAAGGAGAAAAUAAUUUACGUAUAUUAUGAAAAAAUAGCGAAUUUCAACACAAACGUUUGAGGUCGGGGAGUACUGUGGGCUAGCCGGACUGUUGGCGCUCAUAGGUGACAUUGGAGACUCGCUGGAGCUAUAAACGGGACUCGAAGGCGAGGAUGAGUAAAAACUAGGGCUAUGCGGAGAGUAAACCACAUUUGAGUGAGAAGCGGUGGAAUAAUUGGGGCUGGCUGGACUACUAGAGUAUUGCGGACUACUGGGUUUUAUCAAAGGAGAAGGCCAGAACCAAUUCAGCAGUGGAAGAACUUAUUAUGUUUAACGUCUUUGGAGAUCGCACGAAACUCGAAAAUAAUCAGAUUUUUUGUAAUCUUAC
rnacentral:lncRNA from 1 species